AGUGAACGCUGGCGGUAGGCCUAGCACAUGCAAGUCGAACGGCAGCACAGUAAGAGCUUGCUCUUACGGGUGGCGAGUGGCGGACGGGUGAGGAAUACAUCGGAAUCUACUUUUUCGUGGGGGAUAACGUAGGGAAACUUACGCUAAUACCGCAUACGACCUACGGGUGAAAGCAGGGGAUCUUCGGACCUUGCGCGAUUGAAUGAGCCGAUGCCGGAUUAGCUAGUUGGCGGGGUAAAGGCCCACCAAGGCGACGAUCCGUAGCUGGUCUGAGAGGAUGAUCAGCCACACUGGAACUGAGACACGGUCCAGACUCCUACGGGAGGCAGCAGUGGGGAAUAUUGGACAAUGGGCGCAAGCCUGAUCCAGCCAUACCGCGUGGGUGAAGAAGGCCUUCGGGUUGUAAAGCCCUUUUGUUGGGAAAGAAAAGCAGCAGGUUAAUACCCCGCUGUUCUGACGGUACCCAAAGAAUAAGCACCGGCUAACUUCGUG
rnacentral:rRNA from 1 species